AGCUCAGGGACAAAACUACAGCACUUUGGGGAACUGAAGUUUCUGGUCCAGAGAGAGAUCAGAAAGGAGAGAUGGCCUCAGGGAGGGUCUGCUGGCCCAGUCAGGCUGUAACUUUCUCCUGGAACUCCACACAACCUCGUCUGACACAGGGAAUGGCCCUAGUCACGCCGUGUUGGGAUAAACAAACGCUGACUUCCCUCUCUGUCCAGGGAUGGAAGUGGACGAUGCCUGUGCUGAGGCCCAGGACGGGGAGCUGGAGGGACUCUGGACGACCAUCACCAUCUUCAUCAGCCUCUUCCUGCUCAGCGUGUGCUACAGUGCAGCUGUCACACUCUUCAAGGUAAAGUGGAUCUUCUCCUCAGUAGUGGAGUUGAAGAAGACGCUGGUUCCUGAAUACAAGAACAUGAUUGGACAAGGGCCCUAAACCACCUCCUAUGAUGGCAAAGGAUUCCCCAGGCCCUGAAGGACCCUGUCCAAUGUGCCAAGCAGCCUGACUCAGAUCACACUGUCUGCUCACUUCGCUAUACUCUAUCCAUUAGACCCAACUUCCCUCAAUUCUUCUCUCUCUGCAGAACUAUGUGGACAUUAGUAUUCGACAGGGCACAGCCACCAGGACCUAAAACACCAUCACAGCAGCAGCCAAGACACUGGGUAGGGCCAGAAGGGCCAUAGUCUCCUGACUAGUUUAUCCAUUCUGUUGGGCUAGAGAAUCACUGAAGAAGAGAUAAGUGUCUAUCUUGACUGUAUCCAACUGGGAAGGGACCAGUCCUUGGAACCUUGGAACCAGUCCUGUCAGCAUCAUCUUCUAAAACACAAUGAUGAUAAAAGAAGACACAGUUUUUUGAUCCCUAAGAAGAGACAUAUUUCAACCAGGCCAGAAAAGGAAAACUGGGCAGCCAUGGCCCAGCUGAAGCUGAAUGAAUUGUUCCAUUGGCCCUCACAUCACUAUAUCCUGUCAGGUUCCUUUGUACCUGUUCCAUCAACCCUGGAAUACAGAAAAGACCUGUGUUUCUGCGAAUCUUGGGACAGAACCAUCCAAAGGUUGGAAUCCUUUUGUAGAUUAUGCUACUGGUCCUGGGUACAAAACACUGGAUUCUUAAAGGAGCAAAUUCACAGACAACCCUGAAGUCCUGAAAACUAGACACCACCACCUCUCUGGAAUUCUGAACUCUAUGCUAGAGGUACAAGAGAGGAAGGCCUGGGCUUCGUGGCCUCUGUGUAGCCCUAGCAGGAGCAGAGGCCCCUAAGCAGGGGUUGAGAGACCAGCAAGGACCUCCUAGAGAGAGACCUGAUAAACAGAUUCCAAUCAGAAGACAAAAGAUGAAGAGCAACAGAGGUGGAAGGGCACUGGAGAGAGCCAUGGUAUAGCAGGUUUGUCUUGCAGACCUUGACUUCUGUCCAUGACUCUGAGACUUAGCUAAUGACAGCUGGGGCAGCAGUCCAAGGAAUUCCCAUACCCCCUACCACCAGGUUACUAGAGUGUGGAGUGGGUCUACUACAGAGCUCGAAUACCUGUUUCUUCAUCAUUUCUCAACCAAUUAAAACUUGGAGUCUCCAGACAGGAAGAAAAAUGAAGGCAGGAAGGAAAAGUGGGCACUUGCUCUCCUGUGUCUGUCUGGAAGAUCUCAAAGGAGUUUGGCUGUCAAUUUCUUACAGAUCAUUGAUGGCUUUAAGGUCUCUGUCUGGUUUGUUGUUUUUCUUCAUUUAUUUUGGGUUUUUUGUCAAUAAAAUAGUUUUCAAUUAUUC